GACGAACGCUGGCGGCGUGCUUAACACAUGCAAGUCGAACGGAAAGGCCCUGCUUGCAGGGUACUCGAGUGGCGAACGGGUGAGUAACACGUGGGUGAUCUGCCCUGCACUUCGGGAUAAGCUUGGGAAACUGGGUCUAAUACCGGAUAGGAACCAUCUUUAGUGUGGUGGUUGGAAAGUUUUUUCGGUGUAGGAUGAGCUCGCGGCCUAUCAGCUUGUUGGUGGUGUAAUGGCCUACCAAGGCGGCGACGGGUAGCCGGCCUGAGAGGGUGUACGGCCACAUUGGGACUGAGAUACGGCCCAGACUCCUACGGGAGGCAGCAGUGGGGAAUAUUGCACAAUGGGCGCAAGCCUGAUGCAGCGACGCCGCGUGGGGGAUGAAGGCCUUCGGGUUGUAAACUCCUUUCGCUAGGGACGAAGCUUUUUGUGACGGUACCUAGAUAAGAAGCACCGGCUAACUACGUG
rnacentral:rRNA from 1 species